rnacentral:rRNA from 1 species
AUGAAGAUACCUCAUAAGAAUAAAAUAUUUGCAUGGUAUCUUUGUCGCGGAGUCUUUCUUACUAAAGAUAACCUUAUUAAGAGGAAUUGGCAUGGAAGUGCGCAAUGUGUCUUUUGUCAUCGUGAUGAGACAAUAAAACAUUUAUUCCUCCAAUGCAAAUUGGCUCGUUCUAUAUGGUCAGUCAUCAAAAUAGCUUCUAGCUUGUAUCCUCCUUGUAGUGUUGCUAAUAUAUUUGGCAACUGGUUGCAUGGGAUUGAUCACAGGUUUAGAACUCUUCUCAGGGUGGGAGCGCUUGCCGUUAUUUGA